AUCCAGAUUCAUACAACAAGACUGGGGGUUCUGCUUCUGCUCAAACUCAGUCAAUGGAGCCUCUUGAGUCGAAAAACAAUUUAGACAGAUUGUCCAGUUCUCACUCUGAAAAGAUGGGAAAAAGUGGAAUUCAUCAUGCCAGGGACCUUACCCAGACAUCAGGAAAGAUUGUUGGUUCAGAAACCAAGGAAGUAAAGGGUGCUCUUCCUGAAGGCUUCUUUGACAACAAGGAUGCUGACCUUCGUGCACGUGGUAUUGUGCCUGUUAAGCCGGAUGUCAAGUAAGUUCUUGCUUCUGUUAUAUAAAUUUAUUUCUUUAAAAUGUCACUAUCAUCUGACAGGGAGUGUAAUAGAUUCUCUGGAAUAGUAUUCCCUUUCUUUGAUUCUUUUAUGUCCUCUAGUACUGUUUCUUUUCUAUCAAAUUAGAGAAACAAGGUCUGAGAGGGUCUCAAAAGUGUGUAAAGAAAAUUUGAGAUUAUAUCUUGUUUGAAGAAUUAUUUUUCAGCACUCACUGGUCCAUCAUUGUCAUUUUUGAAGCUUUGUCAUCUUUUCAUCAUCGUUGUUAUCAUCAUCGUGAUUAUCAUCUUCUAAUUUUUAACCUAAAAACAAAGCAAAUACACAGGUCCUAGGUUGUGCUUAGAAGCUUUAUUUUGGGCAAUUUUAAUUGGUGGAUAAAUUUCAUGAGUCCUUUUUGGAUGCUUGUGGUAGGGUUUGAGUGGGAAAUCUUUAACCUUCUCUUUGAUAAAAAUAUCAUUGGGAAAAAAAAUAGGACUCUGCCUAGUACUCACAGGUGUAUGUGAAUCCUGUACAUCACAACUGUAGUGUAGUGAAAUAAAUCUUGGUAUAAUUUAGCAGGGGAGGGUGUUAGAGAGGACUGGCUGUGUUAAAAACCUUAGUGAGCCUCAGUGGAGGUUUCUCUGAUUCGUGGGGAAGUUUAUUUUUGAUAGCGUAGGGACCUUUUAACCCUACAGCAUAAUGGCAUGUGUUUCAUUGGGUACUUGAGAUGAUCAGAAAUUACCAUGUAUGAUUGCAUUACUUGGAACACUGAAUUAACCUUGUUAAGAAAUGUUAAAUCCUGGUCAGGGACGAGUACAAAGAAUUUGAAAAGUUGAUACAGGAGGAUUUGAAGGAGGUGGACAACCGUUUGGAAGAAGAAGAGGUCAGGAUCAUUUAUUCCUUGCACCAUUCCUAGAACCCAAUAAUGUAGUCUCUGGUGAUGUUUACUAAAGAUUGGAGUUAUAUCAUUAACUUGGUUUUGCAAUUUUAUGAUGUAGUUUGAUGCAGCUGAGAUGAUUGAAGAGGCCGAGUCUGUGGAGCAAAAGUAAGUCAAGUGUGGUCACGAGUAGUGUAUCACUUGGGUUCUCCUAUAUUUCCAAUGUUUUUGAGUUGGCCUUUUGUUUAGGGUGUAUUGGGAGAAAGUGGAAAUGCUGAAGAAGAAGAAAUUGGAGCUGAAGGCGGCUAGAUCCGGCAGACAGAGUAAACAGCCUGAGGUCAGAGGCAAGGGGCAUAGCUCUAAAGAGGAUUCAUCCAGUGAUGAUGAUAGUGAUGGGAAAUUCAUGGUUGAUUGGAGAGCACAACACCUGUGAAUACUUCUGUUUGAAAUUUUCUAUGUCGCCUGUGCAGACAUGUCUAUGUUGGCAUGCAAACACCUGAUUACGUUUGCUGGAGUUUGGUGCUUGCUGCUUCUUUCAUUCUGAGCCAUUCUCCAGAUUUUGGUUCAACUGGCUGCUGAUUGAAAGGGAUGGGGAGUGAGGCGAGGUGAGAGUAAGCCCUGGUCCAAGAUCUGGGUUUUGGUUGAAACUUGAAUGGUGUAUCCCGAAUUCCGAUACUAAGAUUUAGGGUUUAAUGAAGACAAAUGGGUUAGGAAAGGAAUCAGUUUUAUGCUCUUAUUGUUUAUUUGGAAAUUUUGAGUUCUUUCCCGGUGUUGCUGGUUAUUAUCUGAAACACCUGCGCUACUUAACACUUAUCUUUUCACUACCUUCAAUUAUAUGGUGUAAUCGCACAACUGAAAUGCAAAAUUUUCUGGUGGGAUUAUCUCGUGAUUUCAGAAUCAUAAUUAAUUAAUAUUAUUAUUAUUAUUAUUAGGGGGUGGCCAUUUGGUGGUAAUAGUGGGCAAGUUACAGUCAGUUUCGUCGUGGGUUUAAAAAGUAGUUUUUCUUUUUCAAAAAUAAAAAUUAUUUGUUUCUAAUUUUUAAAAAUAAAGUGAAAUAAAGAGUAAGAGCCUGUUUGGCUGCGUGAUUUAAAAAUAUAUAUAUUUUUAAAUUUUUAUAAAGUAAAAAUUAUUUUUAAAAUUAUUUUUUAACUCAAAAACUGAUUUAAUUAAUAUUAAAAGUUAUGAAACUUAAUAACAUUAGUUAGUCAAAGAUCAAAAUUUAUUUUAAUUAUUUAGGUUAGUUUCUAUAUAUAUAUCAUUUUUAAAAAUUUUAUUAUUAGGUAAAUAAGUUUUAAAUUAAGCAAGAUUUAAUGCAUUAGAUUCACUAAGAGCUUAGUAAUUUUUUAAAAUAAUUUAAAACUCAAAUAGUAAAUCAAUUAAUACAAAAAACUUAUGGAUAAAAAUUGGUUUAGAAUAACUUUAUUGUUUCUCUUUCACAUAGAAUCCUUAUUUCUUGCAUUAAUGAUUAAAUUAUUAAUUUCUUUGAGUGUAUGUAUGAGCAACAUCUUACAGUGAUAGCAUAAUUUUUAACUUUAAACAAUCAAUAAUUUAAUAGGUAGUAAUACAUAUCUUUAAUAAUAGAUACAAUGAUUGUGGUAUUUCCACCAAGUUUGAAUUUAAUAUCCGUACUUGUGCAUGUGGACAUAUAAUGGUGCACGAUAUGGAGUUAGGCUAUGACUCAUUCAUUAGUGAAAAAAUUGUAAUUUUGCCAAACCUAGUUUACAUAAGCAAAUCCAUGCCACAAUCUCUAGGUGGAAGCCUAGGAGCCACGAUCCCUCUCUUUCUCUCUCUUGUUUGAUUGUCAUUUGGUAAUCUGAAAAUUUAAAAUUAGAAUUUUCUUCUAAUACUUUUUAAUCAAAAGUUUUUAGGGGGCUAUUAUUAAUUUUACUUACAAUGGGAAAAGAUAUUUGUUGUUUUUCUUUUUCAGUAGCAGUUAAAAAGGUUAUAACAUUUGAAAAUCACAAUUUAUCUUAACAAUAAAUCAAUAGAAUAAAAUUAAAAAUUAGAGUAUAAAUUAGUAGCAUACCUGAAACUAAUAUGAAGAUAUAAUAACAUAAAGUAAUUAUCAUUGAAUAAAUUAAAAGAAAAGCCAUUUCUUCUAUUACAAUAGUGAUGGAAUUCACUUCCAAAGCUUAUAGUAAAUCAUAAAGCAUAUGAAGAUCUACAAACAAAAUUUAUUGCCUUCGAGCAUGAUUUUUGGCAUAAGUCACUCUUCUUUUGAACAGUAGCCACUUGACAAUUUUGUCCACAAAAUCAAAAUAGGCAUCACACCAAGAUCUUCUUAUUGCCAAGACAAAAUAAGGAACUAAAAUGCCCAGCGCAAAUCCCAAGCCAAUGCUUAAGUAAAACCACUGAUCAAUAUAGCCACCAUCAAUUUUGUCCUCAAGAACACUUUGCCUUUUAUCUAGGUCUUCAUCCUGACAUUUUGUGACUAGUGGAGUUCCACAAAGAUUCGGGUUUCCAGUAAAGGCCAACUCUGUGAAAGUUGUCAUUUGCCCUACAAAGGGGAUCUUACCAGAGAAAUUAUUAUUUGAUAGAUUCAAAUAACCCAAGAAUGUUAACGAGGACAUGCUUGAAGGAAUGGUGCCAGAAAGCUUGUUGCUUGAUAGAUCAAGAGAGGACAACUGACACAACAUUGAAAUGCUUCCAGGAAUUUGGCCAAUGAUGUGAUUCAUGGACAAGUUUAGAAACACCAAACCAGACAAUUUUGUUAUUCCCUCAGGAAACUCUCCACUUAAAUUAUUGUCGGAUAGAUCGAUGCUAACAACAAGAGAAAGAGUCCUCGUGUAUUCAAGACUUUGGCCUUUUGUAAUCACAAUCAACCUUUCAUCAUAUCGAGAGCCAUUCCCACUGUGAUACAAAGAAUACAUAUCCAUGUUACGCUCCUGAGCCAUGGCUUUAAGCUCCACCAAAGUGACUGGAAUUUUACCAGUCAAAUUGUUUUGUGCAAGGUCUAAGACAUGUAGGGAGCUUAAAUUUGAAAGUCGGUCGGGAAGUCUUCCAAAAAAUGCAUUCGACCUCAAGUUGAGUAUUACAAGAUUUAUGAAAGCAGUUCCAAUCCAUGAUGGAACCUUACUCGAUAAUUCGUUAUAACUGAGAUCAAGGAGUUCCAAACUUGAUAAAUUUUGGAAAGAUGAGGGAAGCUCUCCUGAAAGCUUGUUGUCGUUCAGGUGUAGUGAUUGGAGCAAUUGUAACCGACCUAAUGACUUUGGUAUCAUCCCGGACAAAUUGUUAUUUCCAAGGUCCAAAACAAUUAGGCGAGAGUAAUUAUUUAUGGUAGAAGGAAUGCUUCCGGUCAAAUUAUUCCUUGAAAAAUCAAUGACUUCAAGAGAGGUGAUGUGUCCUAUGGAAUCUGGGAUGGUUCCUGUUAUUCGAUUACUCGAAAGAGAAAGGAAAUACAAGCUUGGUAGGAAUUCACCUAUGUUUGAUGGGAUGGGCCCUGUUAUUUGAUUAUGAGAAAGAAGAAGGUAUCUCAAGUCUGACAGGGAUUCACCUUUACUAAGUGGGAUAGGGCCAGAAAAUUUAUUAUGGGAGAGAUCUAGAAAUCUCACCCCUUUGAUUGAAAAAGGAAUAGGUCCUUCAAAGAGGUUGGAACUGAAAUCGAUCUGUGUGAGAAAAGGAGAAGAAAAAUUCAAUGAAUUUGGUAACUGACCUUGUAACUGAUUGUGAGAAAGACUUAAGUCCUGCAGAUUGAAAGAAAUAUUCCAAAACCAAUUUGGAAUAUGACUUGAAAUGCUAGCAUUUGAGAAAUUAAGAUAUUGGAGGUUCUUCUGAGAUUGAAGCCAAACCGGAAAUGAAGGACCCAAGUGGCAUGAACCCAUAUCAAGAUAUUUCACCUGGAAAGGGGGAACCCAAUUGGGACUAACAUUCAAAUGGAAAGAAUUGGAGUCCAUGUAUAGCUGCUCCAACUUACUUAGCUUCCAAAAAUGUUGUUCAGAGAGACUUCCACUCAUUUGAUUGGAACUAACUUGCAAGAUUUGCAAUUCUGAAAGUUGUCCAAUACUAUCUGGGAGACUUCCAUUCAGCUUAUUCAAUCCAAGAGUCAAGAACUCCAGGUGUUGCAAUGUCCAUAAAGAAACAGGAAUGAGACCUUCAAAUCUGUUACUGUUUAAAACAAGUGCCCUGAGAUUUUUAAGCUCACCCAACCAAUUUGGCAAUUUUCCCAUCAAUUGAUUGCCAUACAAGUACAACUCUGUCAAAUUAGGCAAAAGACUUUUAGAACUGCAGGUUUCAAUUCCCUCGAUAAUCUUAGGUAAACUUCCAUUCAAGUAAUUAUCACUCAAAUCCAGAUAUUUUAAGUUGCAAAAGUUUCCAAAGGAGCUUGGAAUUGGACCUGUAAUGAGCAAGAUUAAAAAAUAUGUAUUAAUUAAAUUAUGUAAUAAACAAAUAAUAAAAAUAGUAAAUAACAAAAUAAAUUAAUUCAUGAACAAUUAAUUUAAAGAAAAAGUAAGAAAAGUUAUUAUUCUUCAUGAAUUGGUGAAUAAAAAUAGUAAGAAUGGUAUUUUUUUAUCUUUUUUGAUAACCAUAAAAUAAAAUAAUUUAUUUCACUUUGUUAAAAAAGAAAAAAUAAUUUAUUUCAAUGUUAUAAGAAUAGUAGGAUUAGUCAUUGAUAUUAAUUGUUCCUUUAAAAAUAAACUAUUUUUUCUUUUUUAACAAAGUGAUAGUUCAAUGAGAGAAGAUAGAAAAUCAAAAUAUAAACCAAAGGAUUAAGAAAUCAAGUUAUCAAAAUUUAAAUUUUUAUUUUAGCGAUGAAAAUAAAGCUAGAGAAAACUAGGAAUUCAACCUAGUUUAAUAUUUUGUAACAACAACACUACAAGAAACUAGCAAAAUUAAAUAAAAAGUGAGAAACUUAUAAUAAACUAAAAUCAGUAAAAUGAUGAUGUAAAAUGGUUUAUAGUCUAACUAAAAUAUACAAAGGAUAUGCUAUGAAAUGAAAUAUCUAAAUUAAUUGAGGAGUGAGGAUGUCCUUAUAUCAAAUUGUCACUCAAAUCUAAAUAUUUUAGAGAUUUCAAUUUUAUCAAUAAAGGUCUAAUCUAAUUAAUUAAGUUUAAAAGAGACAAUAUAUCAAAGUAAAAACUCAUAUGGCAACAAUUGCUUCCCCUUUAGGAUAGUGGUUAAUAUUAACUUCUUGAUUUGGAUUUUAGUGAAUUCUCUAAGGUUGUUUUUGGAACUUCUAAUGUUUUAUUUCUAAAGAUAGAAAUUCAUAGAAACUCUAAUAUAAAUAGUAAAACUUUACCAUAAAAAAGUACUAUCUUAAAUGUUUUAAAAAACAUGAAUAUUAGAAAAAAUUUACUAUCUUAAAUCUUUUAAAUUUCAAUAACAGUAUUUAAGAACAUGAAAUGUAAUAUUAUAUUUACUUAAUGUUCAAUUUUAUGGUUUCAAUUACUUGUCUCAACCAUGAAAUGUCAUAUCUCAAUAUAUAAAUUACAAUAAUUUGACAUAAUAGAUGAAUUAUGGAGAGAAAAUAGAAAUUGAAAAUGUGCAAGAGAUGAUUGAAAGUUAUUUGAUGAUAAAGAUUCUUAACAAACGUAAAUGAUCAAAAUAGGAAUAUAAAUUUUUUUUUUGGAGAUACAAAGAAAGUAAAUUUUUAGAUUUCAAUCUAAUGUGGUUUUUUAUUUAUUAAUUACAAGAUUUUAAAAAAUAAAUGAAUAGUAAAUUAUAAUUAUUUAAAUUUUAUAGGAACAAGAAAUACCUGAAAAUAAACAUGACAAUCUAGAAUAAAAUUUUGAAAUGAGAAUAAAAAUUGAAAAGUAUUUAACAGCUAAAACUAGUAAAAUAUUAUAAAAAAAAAUUGGCAUUAGCAAAGUACGUCAUAUAUCAAUUCAACCGUAAUAUAAAUAUUCAAUUCAGUGCAUAUUCAAAUUAUUAUCCCCAAGAACAAAAUAAAUCGAAAAAAUGAGAGCAUGUCAAAAUCUUACUAUAGAAAUGAAAGCAUUCAAAAAAUAAUUAAUACCAUAAUGUAUGAAAAUGAUAUUAUUAUUAUUAUUUACAAUAAUAAAUAAUAAAUCAUUGAUCAACUAAUUUAAAAUAAAAAAAAAGGAGGUUAAGGAUUUAAAAAAUCAUAUUCCUAUAAGUACAAUUCUUUUAUUAGUUACAUAGACAUGCACCUUUUAUAAUCACUUACCAUUACACAAAAAAAUUGUUAAAUAAUAUAGAUACUUCAUAAGCAUAAAGUGUCAAACUAUAUACUUUUUCUUAGAUAAAAAAAAAACUAAAUUUCCUUCUAAGAAAUUUAAAGUUCAAAAUAAUGUUUUGUUAUUAGGUAUAAAUUUAUUUCCACUAUGAGAACAAAAUAUGGUGAUUAUUUGAUAAUGUAUACUAAUACAUAUUCAAGAAGAGGUUAUGUACACAAUCAUCAACUAUAUAAAUUUAAUUACAUAUUUACAUACAAACAAAGAAAUAUCAAUUUUUCUAUUAAGAGAAGAACUUACCAUGUAAUUUAUUUCCACCCAAAUUGAGAAAUUCUACCUUUUUCCAACUCUUCCUCAACAAUUGAUAGAUACUGCCUUCGAGAUAGUUCCCAUAUAGAUAUAAGUAUUGCAAAUUGGGUAGCUCACCAAGACCAAGUGGAAUCCUCCCAUGUAAUUGAUUGUAGCUUAUAUCAAUGGAUCCAAGGCUGCUAACAUUUAGAAGCCAUUCUGGAAACAUGGAAAUGAAUUGGUUCGACUUGAUGCUUAUAACACGAAGUGAAGUAAAGUUAACAAAGCUUGGAAAUGGAAUUGAGCCAGAUAGGCUACAACCAUCUAGAUGCAGCUCUGUUAAAAUUGGAAGUUUGUUUAGCACCUCCACCCAUUCACUUCCUACUGAUGAGAGGUUAACAUAAUCCAUACCAAGAUACUUCAAGGAAACAAGACUAGCCAUCCAUUCAAUAUUGCCAAUAGAUAAAUCAUUAAAAUAUUCAAAAUCAUCAUAACUCAGAUCUUCAUAAGAAAGAUCAAGAUACUGUAAAUUAGAAAGAUUUCCAAAAUUUGAAGGAAUUGUACCACUAAACUCAGCACCUGAUAAGUUUAGAUAUAGUAAAUUCUUCAAAGACCCGAAGAAUUGAGGAAUUGGCAUGCCUUUGAAUGAGUUGAAACUCAAAUCUAGAUAUUUCAAAGACUCGAGUUUUGUCAAUGAAGGUCUAAUUUCUCCACUCAAGUUCAUAGAGCUCCAGUUCUCAUGUACAUUCUUACGAGGAUAAGGGUUAUGAAGAUCAAUGGAAAUGACAAUUCCUGUGUCUUUUUCACAAGUAAUUCCUUGCCAGUAGCAAUAAUUGCUUCCUUUCCAUGAUGAAAGUCGGUUGUUAGGAUCUUUGAGGCCAUUUUUGAAGUUAAUAAGAGUCUCUUGUUCAGAUUGAAUGUUGUUGCUGAUAUGGGUAUAACCAUUACAUGCAAGUUCCGUUGUUAUGAAAUAGAGAAUGGCUACAAUGAAACCAAGAAUUGAAAUUCUCUCCAUGUAAAUAUUCUAAGUUGAGCACCUGUAAAAAUUGAAUUCCAAUAUGUAGUCAGCAUUUUCUUGAAUUAAAUUAAAAUUUUAUUUUUGACAUCAAAAUGAAAAACUGAUAAAAUUUAAAAGAUAGUUGCAUCAACAUGAUGAACUUAUUUUAACCAACACAUUUAAGAAAUGUUACCAGUCUAAUAUAAUUUUAAAAGAUCUACUCAUGGCAUAUGUAAAUAUAUACUAAGAAAAACAGUAGUAAUCAUCUCAUAGAUAUGCAACCUUACUUUGAUUGGCGAGAACUGAAAUCACCUACAAGAGAGUUAGAAAGAUUAGAUAGAAAAACACAUUAAAAGUAGUUUAUCAAUAUUAGUCGAGUUCAACCUUACCUGAAACUUCUUUCUUGUUUUCCUUGUUUUUUCAAUUCAACUAAAAUAUAUAGAAGAUUGUUUAAAGUGAUGACAAUGAUAGCCUCACUUUCUUAUUUUCCUUGUUUUUUCAAUCAUAUUAAAUUCUAAUUGAGUGGAAAAUGACUCAGAGUUCUUACCUCCACCACAAAAACCAAGUGUCUUGAUUGAAAACCUUCACUUGAAGAUAAAAAAGAUGUGGAUUGAAAGACCAUGAGUUGGCACUAAGUCAAGGUCAAUAAGAUUAAAAUAAACAUUAAAAUUCAUCUAUGAGUAAAAAAAACUACACUUGUUUAAAUUUUGAAAGAUCUUAAUUGGGAAAAAUAAAAUAUGCAUAUCAAGGUGUUAAGAAUAAGUCAAGAGCUUAGAUCAUUCAACAUACAAAAAUAGUAUUGAAUUGAUGGGCUUAUUUGGUGGUAUAAUUUAGAAAUUUAUAGCACUAUUUGGCAUGUUUUAUCCCAAAAACAAAAUUUUAAAAUAAAGUUAAAUAGAGAACAACUUUAGGAAAAUAAAUAUAAUUUCUUCUCACUUGUUUUUAAAAACAAAAGGAAAACAUAAAAAAAUAAAAUAAAUAAAUACAAUCUCUUUCUUCUUUCAUUUUUUCUUUACCAACCAAUGAUAAAAAAUCAUCAAAUAUGAUCUUUCUCUUAAUUAUACGUAUUUUUUUUUUUAUUUUCUUUAACUUCUCUAAUUUUUUUAUUAGGCAUAUAGAUUUUGAAUCAAAUAAUACUUAAAAUAAUUUGAAACUCAAAAUCAAUUUAAUUAAUACUAAAUUGUCAUCAAACUUAAAAGUUAAUUUAAUUAAUACAAAAAAAGUCAUGAACCAAAAUUUAUCAUGGAUGACUUUUUUAGUUUCUUAUUACAACACAUAACUAUAUUUUUCUGAAUUUUUUGCUAGAAAAAUAAAUUAAAUCUAGCAAAACUUAAUGUUUCAAUCCUUUAAUGAAUCUAAUAAUUUUUAGAAAUACUUUCAAAUUCACAUAUNNNNNNNNNNNNNNNNNNNNNNNNNNNNNNNNNNNNNNNNNNNNNNNNNNNNNNNNNNNNNNNNNNNNNNNNNNNNNNNNNNNNNNNNNNNNNNNNNNNNNNNNNNNNNNNNNNNNNNNNNNNNNNNNNNNNNNNNNNNNNNNNNNNNNNNNNNNNNNNNNNNNNNNNNNNNNNNNNNNNNNNNNNNNNNNNNNNNNNNNNNNNNNNNNNNNNNNNNNNNNNNNNNNNNNNNNNNNNNNNNNNNNNNNNNNNNNNNNNNNNNNNNNNNNNNNNNNNNNNNNNNNNNNNNNNNNNNNNNNNNNNNNNNNNNNNNNNNNNNNNNNNNNNNNNNNNNNNNNNNNNNNNNNNNNNNNNNNNNNNNNNNNNNNNNNNNNNNNNNNNNNNNNNNNNNNNNNNNNNNNNNNNNNNNNNNNNNNNNNNNNNNNNNNNNNNNNNNNNNNNNNNNNNNNNNNNNNNNNNNNNNNNNNNNNNNNNNNNNNNNNNNNNNNNNNNNNNNNNNNNNNNNNNNNNNNNNNNNNNNNNNNNNNNNNNNNNNNNNNNNNNNNNNNNNNNNNNNNNNNNNNNNNNNNNNNNNNNNNNNNNNNNNNNNNNNNNNNNNNNNNNNNNNNNNNNNNNNNNNNNNNNNNNNNNNNNNNNNNNNNNNNNNNNNNNNNNNNNNNNNNNNNNNNNNNNNNNNNNNNNNNNNNNACAUUCAAGUAAAACAUCCUUUAAAAUGAAAAAAAAAAAAUAGUUUGUAUCUUUUUCAUGACCCAUUAAUCUUGUAAGAAUUAUAGAUCACGUUGUUUGAUCAUGAUCGAUGAUUAACAAACUUUAUUCUCUAUGUAGUGUUGACUAUGUUAUCAAGUCAAAAAGCUAUGCCGUGUUCAAGUAACACAUCUUCCAAAAUUUUAAAAAUAUAAUAAGAUAAAAUAAAAUAAAGGCCUUGACUCAAUUCUUUUUAUUAUGAAGGUCAUUCUUCACCUAAAAAAUAAGGUUAACAACUUUGCAUCUAAUUAUAAUAUAGGAUAAAAAGAAGUGUUUAAUAGUGAUCAAAACACUGAUUUUAUAUCAUUAUACAAAAUUAAGGGAAAUAAUCAACUAGUCAAGAAAUGAAUUGAUUAAUUGUUACCUUUACCAAAAUGCCUUAUUAUAUAUUAUAGCUUUUCUUUAAAUAAAAUUAAAAGAAAAUUGUCAAAUAGCACCAUAAUAAAGGGAAAAUUGAUCUUAGUCCACAUUACUACUUUUGUUUAAACAAAAUUAAAAUAAAUUUUGUGAAAUAUAUCAAUAAAAAAGGAAAAAUACUUGCAUGAAAAGAUAGAAUUUUUUUUUUUUUUUUUUAAAGCAAAAUGUUACUAAAUAAAGGGAAAAUACUUGUAUAAACUAGUUUAUCUAAAAUUAGACCUUGACUUAGUAUUUAAUAAAUAUAGGAGAACAAAUAUAUAUGACAACCAUACCAUUAAUUUUAUCUUAAUGUAUAAAAAUAAAGAUAACUAUUGGAUAGCCAAAAAUAAUAAUAAAAUUAAAUAUUUAUUAUCCCUAAUUGUAAAUUAUGAAAACAUUGAAAAGUUAUUUUAAAUCCAAAUAUGUCAAAAUAACAUCAUUAAUAUAAUUGCUUUCAAUUCAUUUUUACACACACAUAGUAGAUUAAACAUUAUAUCUAUCUUGCAAUUUAAGUAAUCACUUUUGACUUCAAAGGAAAAUGAUAUUAGAAAAUAAUAUGAUUCAACCCAAAAACUUAAUUUCUUUAAGUUCCAACUAAUGAGAAACAUACACAUGCGAUAACCUUAUUACAAUAGAUUAGUUUCUUCCAAUUUUUUUUUUUUAAUUUUUUAUUAUUCAAAUAUCUAAUAACCUAAUUUGCCUAAAAUUAAUUAUGACAAUGAUUAACCAUCUAAAAUCAAAUCAUAAUGUCCAUUUUUUUCUUGAUCAUAAUCCACAAUAAAGAAUAUUUAUUUUGAAUGAAGUGUAGACCACAUUGUAAAGUUUGUCAAUUCAAAUAGUCAUAUGGAUAACAAAUAACUAUUUUAAAAUCAUAUUAGAAUAGUUUGUAUUGUUAUAUGACCCAUCAAUUUUGUAUGAAGUGGAGACCACGUGUUUGACUAUGACCGAUGAUAAUGGAAUUUUAUUCUCUAUGUAGUAUUGAUCAGGUUAUCAAGUCAAAAAGUUAAAUUGUGCUCAAGUAAAACAUCCUUUAAAAUUUAAAAUAAAAAAUAAAAAAUCAAAAGACCUUGACUCGUUCAAAAUUAUGGUUUUGAAAGUUGGAAGUAAAAAUGGAGAAAGGAAAACCAAGAAAAAAAGGCCCAUAUAUUAGGCCUAGAAAUUAGGCCCUUGUAGAAAGGAAAAAAAGAUUUUCGAAAAAGGAAAAUUAAAUAAAAUAAAAAUUCAAAUGAGCCAAAAGUUGUCUAGAAAAUGGGCCGAAAUAGGGGCCAAAUAAUAAUAAUAAUAAUAAUAAUAAUAAUAAUAAUAACCAUACAUCCAUAUUGAAGGUGAUAUAUUUUGAAACAUUCAAGUCCAUGUAAGAUAGUAAUAGAUAAGAUGAUAAUAGCCUUACAACCAUAUUGAAGGGUGAUAUCUUUUGAAACAUUCAAGAUCUUACAACAUUGAAGUCAAUGAAAAAUGUUGUCCACACAAGAUGAUAAUAGAUAAGUUUAAAUAAUAAUAAUAAUAAUAAUAAUAAUAAUAAUAAAAUAAUAAUAAAAACCUUACAACCAUAUCGGAGGGUGAUGCUUUUUGAAACAUUCAAGUCCACACAAGAUGAUAAUAACUUUACAACCAUAUUAAAGGAUGAUAUCUUACAAAACAUUCAAGACCUUACAACCGCAUUGAAAUAUUUUAGACCUUACAACAUUCAAGUCUAUGAAAAAUGUUGUCCACACAAAAUGGUAAUGGAUAAGUUUAAUAUUCUCAAAUUAUUAUAAAUCAAGCAAAGUCUAGCUUGGCCAAUAAUAUUAUAAACUUAAAAAUUAAUUAUCUACAAUUAUAAAUUAUUUAAAGUUAUUUUGAAUCCAAAUAUGUCAAGUAGCGUCAUUAUUAUAAUUGCAUCCAAUUUGUUUUCCUAUACACACAUAAUAGAUUAAACACUAUAUUUGUAUUGCAACUUAAGUAAUCACUUUUUACUUCGAAGAAAAUUGUGUUAGAAAAUAAUAAGAUCCAAACCACAACUUAAUUCCUGAAGUCCCAACUAAUGAGAAAUAUACACAUGAUAUAAUCUUAUGAUAAUAGAUUAGUUCCAUCCAAUUAUUUUUUAAUAUAUCAAUAUCUAAUUACAUAAUUUGUCUAGAUUUAAUCAUGAAUAACGAAUAACCAUUUAAAAUCAAAUCAUAAUAGUCCAUUCCUCCGGACCCACAACUAGCUCCUCCCCACUUCUUCCAAAGUCUUCACAAAAGAUUCUUAUUUCCACCUGGGAAUCUUUUAUUAAAUUUUUAAUUCUAUAACCCAUAAAAACUUAACAAAUAAAUACAAUUUUAUAGAUUUAUAAUAUAUAUAUAUAUAUAUGUUCACUAAAACAUUACCAUCUUUUUAACAAAAAAAAAAACAUAAUUUGUAUUUUUAUUAUAUAUGAAAUUUAUCAUUACAUUAUUUAUUGAAACAAUUAUCAUCCUUUAUUUUGUAUUUAUUUCUUAUAAUUUAGUUUUUUUUUUGAAGUAAAACAAAAUUGGUGUGAAUUUUUAAAAUAUUAUAAUUUAUAGAUAAAUUUUUUCAAAUAUUAAUAUUCAUUUUUAAUGAAAAAAUAUAGUUCAAAUGUUUAUCUAAAAAUUAACAAUUUCACAAAAUUUUAAUAAAAUAUUAAAAAAAAAAUCCACGGGAUUUGUUUUCUUUCAUGGUUUUAUCUAUUAUCUCAUAUUAUCCUUAGAAAAAUGAAUUUAUAUUAAAAAAUAUUAGUUGAUAAGAUAACAACAAAUCAAUUUACUACAUAACAUAAAUUAAUAAAACCACUAUGAUAUUUUAAACACUAGUGAUUUGUUUCUUCAAAAUUAUUUUUGACAAAUUAUCCAAAAGUCUACAUUUUUUUUAAAUAACCAAAAUGUUAAGGUUCAAUAAUAUUUUCUUAAGGUUAUUUCUUGAAAUUAAUUUUCUAGAUAGAAAGAAGGUUUUCUAUUAUUUUUUAAGUAAUCACUUUUGACUUCAAAGGAAAAUGAUAUUAGAAAAUAAUAUGAUCCAACCCACAAACUUAAUUCCUUUAAGUUUCAACUAACGAGAAACAUACACAUGCAAUAACCUUAUUAUGAUAUAUUAGUUUCUUCCAAUUUUUUUUUAUACAAAUAUCUAAUAACUUAAUUUGCCUAGAUUUAAUCAUGGACAAUGAUUAACCAUCUAAAAUCAAAUCAUAAUGUUCAUUUUUUUCUUGAUCAUAAUCCACAAUAAAGAAUAUUUAUUUUGAAUGAAGUGUAGACCACGUUGUAAAGUUUGUCAAGUCAAAUAGUCAUAUGUAUAAUAAAUAACUAUUUGAAAAUCAUAUUAGAAUAGUUUGUAUUUUUAUAUGACCCAUCAAUUUUGUAUGAAGUAUAGACUACGUUGUUUGACUAUGACGGAUGAUAAUGAAAUUUUAUUCUCUAUGUAGUAUUGAUCACGUUAUCAAGUCAAAAAGUUAAAUCGUGCUUAAGUAAAACAUCCUUUAAAAUUAAAAAAAAAUCAAAAAUAAAAAAACCUUGACUUGUUCAAAAUUAUAGGUUUUGAAAGUUGGAAGUAAAAAUGAAGAAGGAAAAACCAAGAAAAAAAAAGGCUCAUAUAUUGGGCCCAGAAAUUAGGCCCUUGUAGAAAGGGAAAAAAGGUUUUAGAAAAAGGAAAAUUUAAUAAAAUAAAAAUUCAUGGCCAAAAGUUGCCUAGAAAAUGGGCCGAAAUAGGGGCCAAAUAAUAAUAAUAAUAACCAUACAUCAAUAAUGAAGGUGAUAUCUUUUGAAACAUUCAAGUCCACAUAAGAUAGUAAUAGAUAAGAUGAUAAUAGCCUUACAACGAUCUUUUGAAACAUUCAAGUCAAUGAAAAAUGUUGUCCACACAAGAUGAUAAUAGAUAAGUUUAAAUAAUAAUAAUAAUAAUAAUAAUAAUAAAACCUUACAACCAUAUUGGAGGGUGAUACUUUUUGAAACAUUCAAGUCUACACAAGAUGAUAAUAACUUUACAAUCAUAUUAAAGGAUGAUAUCUUUCAAAACAUUCAAGACCUUAAAACCACAUUGAAAUAUUUUAAACCUUACAACAUUCAAGUCUAUGAAAAAUGUUGUCCACACAAAAUGGUAGUAGAUAAGUUUAAUAUUCUCAAAUUAUUAUAAAUCAAGCAGGUCUAGCUUGCCAAUAAUAUUAUAAACUUAAAAAUUAAUUAUCUACAAUUAUAAAUUAGUUAAAGUUAUUUUGAAUCCAAACAUGUCAAGUAGCACCAUUAUUAUAAUUGCAUCUAAUUUAUUUUCCUAUACACACAUAAUAGAAAAUAAUAAGAUCCAAAUCACAACUUAAUUCCUUAAGUCCAUAUUAACAAGAAACAUACAAAUAUCUAAUUACAUAAUUUGUCUAGAUUUAAUCAUGGACAAUGAAUAACCAUUUAAAAUCAAAUCAUAAUUGUCCAUUCCUUCGGACCCACAACUAGCUCCUCUCCACUUCUUAUAAAGUCUUCAUAAAAGAUUCCUACUUCCACCUGGGAGUAUUUUCUUAAAUUUUUAAUUCUAUAAUGCUUUCUCAUUGCAAAAUUAGGGUCUUUUUAAUUUUUAAUUCUAUAACCCAUAAAAACUUAAUAAAUAAAUACAAUUUUAUAGAUUUAUAAUAUAUAUAUAUAUAUAUAUAUAUAUAUAUGUUCACUAAAACAUUACCAUCUUUUUAACAAAAAAAAAAACAUAAUUUGUAUUUUUAUUAUAUAUGAAAUUUAUCAUUACAUUAUUUAUUGAAACAAUUAUCAUCCUUUAUUUUGUAUUUAUUUCUUAUAAUUUAGUUUUUUUUUUUGAAGUAAAACAAAAUUGGUGUGAAUUUUUAAAAUAUUAUAAUUUAUAGAUAAAUUUUUUCAAAUAUUAAUAUUCAUUUUUAAUGAAAAAAUAUAGUUCAAAUGUUUAUCUAAAAAUUAACAAUUUCACAAACUUUUAAUAAAAUAUUUAAAAAAAAAAGUCCAUGGGAUUUGUUUUCUUUCAUGGUUUUAUCUAUUAUCUCAUAUUAUCCUUAGAAAAAUGAAUUUAUAUUAAAAAAUAUUAGUUGAUAAGAUAACAACAAAUCAAUUUACUACAUAACAUAAAUUAAUAAAACCACUAUGAUAUUUUAAACACUAGUGAUUUUUUUUUUUUCAAAAUUAUUUUUGAAAAAUUAUCCAAAAGUCUACAUUUUUUUUUAAAAUAACCAAAAUGUUAAGGUUCAAUCAUAUUUUCUUAAAGUUAUUUUUUAAAAUUAAUUUUCUAGAUAAAAAAUUAAGUAAUCACUUUUGACUUCAAAGGAAAAUGAUAUUAGAAAAUAAUAUGAUCUAACCCACAAACUUAAUUCCUUUAAGUUCCAACUAAUGAGAAACAUAACAUGCAAUAACCUUAUGAUAGAUUAGUUUCUUCCAAUUUUUUUUUAUACAAAUAUCUAAUAACUUAAUUUGCCUAGAUUUAAUCAUGGACAAUGAUUAACCAUCUAAAAUCAAAUCAUAAUAAUCCAUUUUUUUCUUGAUCAUAAUCCACAAUAAAGAAUAUUUAUUUUGAAUGAAGUGUAGACCACGUUGUAAAGUUUGUCAAGUCAAAUAGUCACAUCGAUAAUAAAUAACCAUUUUAAAAUCAUAUUAGAAUAGUUUGUAUUUUUUUUAUGACCCAUCAAUUUUGUAUGCAGUGUACACUACUUUAUUUGAUUAUGACUGAUAAUAAUGAAAUUUUAUUCUCUAUCUAGUAUUGAUCACGUUAUUAAGUCAAAAAGAUAAAUCGUGCUCAAGUAAACAUCCUUUAAAAUAAAAAAAAUUAAAAAUCAAAAGACCUUGACUCGUUCAAAAUUAUGGGUUUUGAAGGUUGGAAGUUAAAAUGGAGAUGAAAAAACCAAGAAAAAAGGCCCAUAUAGUUGGCCCAUAAAUUAGGCCCUUGCAAAGAGAAAAAAAAAAGUUUCAGAGAAAAGAAAAUUAAAUAAAAUAAAAAUUGAAAUGGCCCAAAAGUUGCCUAGAAAAUGGGCUGAAAUAGGGGCCAGAAAACCGUCCCUAUAAGAGAAAAUUUUUUAUUAUACAAAUAUCUAAUAACUUUAUUUGCCUAGAUUUAAUCAUGGAUAAUGAUUAACCAUCUAAAAUCAAAUCAUAAUAAUCCAUAUUUUUCUUGAUCAUAAUCCACAAUAAAGAAUAUUUUGUUUUUUUGAAUGAAGUGUAGACCACGUUAUAAAGUUUGUCAAGUCAAAUAGUCAUAUCGAUAAUAAAUAAUCAUUUUAAAAUCAUAUUAGAAUAGUUUGUAUUUUUUUUAUGACCCGUCAAUUUUGUAUGCUGUGUAGACUACGUUGUUUGAUUAUGAUUGAUAAUAAUGAAACUUUAUUCUCUAUGUAAUAUUGAUCAUGUUAUCAAGUCAAAAAGAUAAAUCGUGGUCAAGUAAAACAUCCUUUAAAAUUUAAAAAAUUAAAAAUCAAAAGACCUUGACUCAUUCAAAAUUAUGGGUUUUGAAGGUUGGAAGUUAAAAUGGAGACGGAAAAACCAAGAAAAAAGGCCCAUAUAGUUGGCCCAUAAAUUAGGCCCUUGCAAAGAGAAAAAAAAAAGUUUUAGAGAAAAGAAAAUUAAAUAAAAUAAAAAUUGAAAUGGCCCAAAAGUUGCCUAGAAAAUGGGCUGAAAUAGGGGCCAGAAAACUGUCCCUAUAAGAGAAAAAAAUCUUCAUAAAAAUUAUGAGGCCCAAAAUUGGCCCAGAAGUUGGGCCCAGGGAUCUGACCCAUAAAAGGGCCAAAAAGGCUGGCUGGGAGGGGAUUAAAAAAAGGGCAAACUGGCCCAAAUUAGGCCCAGCCCAUUUUUAUUGGGUUGGGUAUGGUGGGGGUGGGCUUCGCUUGGGUGUGGGUGAGGGGAGGGUUGACUUAUGACACGGUGCCAUGUGGCAGCUCCAAUUGAGGUGCAAAACCCCACUUUUUAAGCCUAUAAUGUUGUCUUUAAGAUCAUUAUGAUUUCUGCUUAGCUCCUCAUGGUGCUUCAGCUCUACUGUAAAUAUAGGAACUAUACUAAGUAAGAAUGAUACAAAACAAUACAGAAAUAAAUUUUAAACAAGGGAGGCCCAAAUUUGGCCCAGAGAUGGGACCCAUAAGAGAGCCCAAAAUGCUAGCUGGUGGGGAAUACAAAAAUAAAAAAAUAAAUAAAAAGGGCCAAACUGGCCCAGCCCAGGGAAAGAGUUCAAUUAUUUUUUAAAUUAUUUGUAAUAAUAAAAUUAUUAUUAUUAAUUUAUUAAAAACUAUUUAUUUUUAAUUUAGUUAUAAUAAUAAAGUUUUUUAUUUAUUUGUAAUAUGAAUUGAAUUAAAUUAAAUUUAUAUUAUAUAAAUUCAAUUUACAAAAUCAAAAUAAAAAAUUAUUUUUAAAAACAACUUAUAUAAAAUCAACUUUUUGUUUUUUAUUAUUUGAAGAGUGUAUUUAAAAAUAGUUUACACAAAGGGAAUCAAAAUACCCUUCAAUGAUGAAUUGAAUCCCACUUAUAAGUGGAAAUUUAUUUAUUUGCUGGAAUCAUUUUUUAUUUCAUUCUCAUUGCAAACAUUAUAAUGAAUGAAUUCAACAUAUCAAACAUGAUAAUGGUAAAUAUAUUUUAAUAAAUCUAUAAAUUUUAAAACUUAACAAAUAAAUACCAUUUUAUAAAUUUUAAAAACUGAUAAUAGCGUAAUCAUGGGUUAUAAGUAUACUUUUCUUUGGUUAAAAGAGUUUUAUAUAAUAUAUAUAGUUAUAAUUAAAGUGCUUCAAAGUUAAAAGGCCUUCUAAAUACUCUUUUAGCUCCAAGGGUUGUUCUUUGUAAGGUUUGGAAUAAAUUUUUUGCUUAUAUAUUAACUUAUUAAUUUUCUUGCAAAAUAAAAGGAGUCUUCUUUUCUCAUUAAAAUAAUUUGAGUCAUUUUUCCUUCUCAUUACGCUACAACAAAUGUGGGCUUUUUCUAUGUACUAAUUUGUACUUAAAAAAGAGCAUUUCUGGGUUGUUGCUAUAAUCAUUUUUUACCAUAACAAAUGAAUUUUAUAGCCAAAAGAGGUAAAAUUUUGCCAUAACAUGUUAUUUUUCACCACAAAAUAAAACUUGUACCAACACAUCACUUUUUUCCACAAAACAAAUUCAUGGCAAAACUCAAAAUUCUCUAUGAACACAAAAUUCAUGGUAAAAGUUCACUACAAAAAAAUAUUUACGGUUAAUGAUUAAAUUCCACCAUAAAAAAAAAAAAAAAAAAAUUGUGGCAAAAGUUUAUUUUCAAUAAAUUUUUUUUUCUAAUAGUACUAAAUUGCUAUCUAAAGAGCAUCACUGAUCAUUCUGCCAUUGUUGUCCCUUAAUGCUAAAAUACAUAAUGAAUCACCAACUUGACAUAAAUUAGGAUCAAUAUAAAAACAAAACAAAACAAAAAAAAAACCAAAAGAUGAACUUAGCUAAAAAAAAUUAAAGCCUAUAAAUUCACACAAAGAAUAUUAAUAAUUUAAUAAUUAAAUAUCAACAUUACAUCCUUUAAUACACUAAGCUUAGUAUGAAGUAUGAAGUAUGAAAUGCCAUGAGAGAUUCAUCACAAAAUAUACUUCAAAUCAAUUUGCAUACUCUCUAAUGGUAGCAUGUUAUCCUCUAGUUCAUUAUUUUCAUUAAUUGACACAGAAUCAGUAGAAAUAGAAUCAGAUUUUACUUGAAACCCUAAAACAGUGCUGACCUCAAAUUACUGGUUGUUUGGAUCAACAAACUUGAGCAUGAGGUCAUUAUGUCCAGACUUUGAAUCCUCCUCCGGCUAGGGCUUCGAAGCCCCACUCUCCUUCUAGGUUUCAUUGUUUUGCUCCUCUUGCCCACUUUGUGCUAUUUCAGAUACCACAUUCUCACUAACCAUAGUGCUAGUUUCGACAAAAAUUACAUUUCCUGAAUAAAAUUUCAUUGAAAGAAUAUUAAAUUCUAUUAAUCACGCAAAGUAAAAAAUAAGAUAGGUGCACUACUUGAACCUGCUAAGACAUCAAAUUUUCUAUUAUAAGCACUUGACAUUAGUUGAGAGGGAAUUUUCAUUUUCAGAAAACCAGAAGAAAAUACGACACACAAUCAUCAAAAUUUCUCCCCCUAUCAAUUUCCUCUCGGUUUUCUCUACAACCAAACAAAGGGUAAGGGUUUUUGAAAAUUUCCUCUUCCAGAUUCUUCUUCUAAUCAUCAACACCGUCCAUUUCUAUAAAUUUCAGUCAAAUAUACAGAUAAUAUUAGACGCUUCCAUGCUGAUAGAGAGAGAAAGUAGAAAUUGUAAAAUUUUAAAAUCCAUCAACACUGCUAGAAACUUCCAAGCAAAUCAACAGUAACAGUGGUGACAAAAUUGUAUUUUUAUACUAAUACAAGUGCUAGGACUAGGCGGCUUCAAUAUCACUCUACAAAAAUUCAAAAUUCAAAUUGAAUUUUCUUUCAUUUUCCUAAACCUUCACAGCAACCAAACGCGAGUUGGGGCUAAACAUCUCCACACCACACCCUAAAAACUCCAAACAUCAAGAAUAUGAGACAAUCGACAAUGAAAACUCUAAAUAUCCAAAGAGAAAAAACAGAGAAUUGAAGAGAGAGUUAGAGACCUAGAUAGGUUGAUUGAGUUGAGAGAGGUGAUCAGAGGAGAGGUGAGGCAAGAGGCCAAGCAGUGCGGAGAGAGCCAUCUCCGAGUGCUUAGGAUGAAUCCGUCGCAUCAAUCCCAAAGUCGCCUCCAUUUUAUUCAAAAAAAGGAUUCGGUUAAGCUCUAGAACCACCACCACCACUCUAGGGACCCUUCCCCCUGAUGACACGUGGCGUGCCUCGCUGUCCGAGGCGACUCCAUCCGGACUCCCCAGAGAAGGACACAUGGCGCGCUCCCCCUAUCCGGACUUCCUUAGGGAAAAGCACACGACACUCGCAAGCAUCACAUCCCCGGACGAUAGCAUAUCCUAUUCGGAUAUGUUGUCCGGAUCGUUGACUAAAGUAAGUAAGUCUUAAUGACAGCUUGCGUGGCCCACGUUUCGCCACCUGCAGAGUGAAAGGACAGAAGUGAUGGCAAAUCACCUCCCACGAUCUCUGACAGCCGUGUCGUAGGGUGAUGAUGACCCUGCCACCACCUAGAGGCAUCAUGACGAGCCAAAAAGUCUCCCUACCAUUAAAGAAGAGGACAGAGCUUCUGAUACUAUAUAUAUGGACCUUCACACAAGAAGGAAGGUAAGCUUGCUAUACCUAGUAAAAGGCCAACUGAUUAAUCUCUCUAAGACAUGGCUGACAAAAUCAUCGAAGGGUGUGUCCGGACACCCUGUCCAUACAUCUUUUGCAGGGACAACUGAACCAGAACUCUAUCUUGGUUGAAAGUGUGCGUCCAUUUGGCAGCUACGUGGAUCAUCGGGACGCAAGGCCUUAACAUUGGCGCCGUCUGUGGGAAACUCGCUGAUUCAGUCACCGGCAAAGAUGUCCACACCUUCCAAAAGCCACUCGUCUGCUAGGGGAGAGGAAGAUAAUUUUGAAUGGCGCUGAGCCAUCGAAAGAAGACAGUUGGCAAGCGAGCGACAACUGCAAGCUCUCCUCCAGGAGACAAUAAGAUUAAGAGAAGAAAACGCUGUGUUGCGAAUAUAGGCUUCAUCAACGGGGCCUCCCCGUCAUUAGCAUUCAAGAGGUCAGGUAGCAAACUCAAGGCCUGACCCAGAGUCAAUAUACCCUGGGGCAGCAGGAGCAAUCCCUGAAACAUGCAACGUUAGGCCACAUGAGCCACACACGCCCAUGCACCGAGCUCCUCAUGAGGAAAGCUCAGACUCUACUCAUCUUUCAACAAAAAGACAACGCGACAAAAAACCCCAUUUGUUAGACUCAAUGCGCGCGAGACUAGGCCCACAGGAGCCUAGGAGGCCAAGGCCGCCAGUUGCCACAACCUGGGGAGCACACCCUGACCCUAUGGUCACCCCUAUGGUGCAUAACGUUCUCCCGCACCGUGACCCUAUGGUCACCCCUAUGGUGCAGAACGUUCACCCGCACCUAGCAGUAUGACAAGCUGGGAGAAACCUCCCAAAGGAGCCACCCAUUGGCUCCAUCAGCAAAAGGCUGGACGACAUGCUCUCCACGCCUUUCUGCUCUCAUAUUAUUCAUUACGAGCCCCCAAGGGGAUUCCUUGUGCCUAAAUUCUCCACGUACGAUGGGUCUAGUGACCCCUUCGACCAUAUCAUGUAUUAUCGACAGCUCAUGACUCUCGAUAUAAGAAACAACGCGCUACUAUGCAAAGUGUUCCCCGCCAGCCUACAAGGGCAGGCCCUCUCAUGGUUUCACCGUCUACCUCCCAACUCUAUUGAUAAUUUCAGGGACCUGUCGGAAGCCUUCGUGGGACAAUACUUAUGCUCCGCUCGGCAUAAGCAGAACAUCAACACUCUGCAAAACAUAAAAAUGCAGGACAACGAGUCCUUGAGGGAGUUCGUGAAACGGUUUGGUCAGGCCGUGCUACAGGUAAAGGCUUACAACAUGGAUGUUGUCCUGCAGAUCUUCAAGCGAAGCAUUGGUCCAAGCACCCCAUUUUUCGAAUCAUUCGCUAAGAAGCCUCCUACGACGAUGGACGACUUGUUCCGGCGUGCGAGCAAAUACUCCAUGCUCGAAGAUGACGUGCGAACAGCCACCCAACAAAUCUUGGUUGUCGGACAAGCAUCCAGAGGUGGUGCAGAAAGAAGUGCCAAACUUCCGGACCGGCCAAGGCCGUCCGAUAGAAGGUAGGAAGGGCCAAGUCGCCCGGAAAUGCCGCCCCCCAUACCCCUUUCCAUAUCUUUUGAAAAGCUUCUCCCUAUGAUCCAAGACAUGUCCGACUUCAGGUGGCCUAGACCCCUCAAAACGGACCCCUCCAAAAGGGAUCAUAGUAAAAAAUGCGCCUACUGUAAGGAGCAUGGUCACACAACGGAGGCGUGCAAGUGCCUCCAUUAUUUGGUCAAAAGGCUCAUACAGGCGGGACAUUUAAAGCAAUACCUCCGCUCAGAUGCCAGAGGUAGAGACGCUUCCCGAAAUCACAACUCUGGAACCCUCAGGGCUUUAGCCGCCCCCAAAGUCGUUAUAAACUAUAUUAACGGAGGCCCACUCAAUGAGGAGUACGACUCCAAACGAAAGAGACAGAGGUUGGUGAGGGCAGCAUCGGUGCGUGAGCAUGUCAACUCCAUCCGGCCUGGGAUAAUUGGGGGUGGGGGAGGGGGGGGGGGGGGGGGCUUAGCCCCAUAGAUGGGACAAUCAUUUUCCCGCCAGUAGACCCCACACGAAUAUUGUAGCCACACCGCGAUGCCCUCAUCCUGUCCCUAGAGAUAGGAGACUUCGACGUGAGACGCAUCCUAGUUGAUCCGGGCAGCUCGGCCGAUCUUGUACAAGCAUCGGUCAUUAGCCACAUGGGAUGCAGUUUAGCAGGCCUCGAAAACCCUGGGCAAAUCUUGUCCGGAUUCAACGGGGCAUCAACUACUUCCUUGGGAGAUAUUGCAUUGUCGGUCUAAACUGACCCAAUCACUCUCAACGUACAAUUUUCGGUGGUACAAGAUUUAUCACCCUUCAAUGUCAUCUUGGGGCGCACAUGGCUGCAUUACAUGAAAGUCAUCCCCUCUACGUAUCAUCAAAUGGUAAGCUUCCUUACCAAGGAUGGGCAAAUCGACCUAUAUGGCAACCAGUUAGCCGCUCGUCAAUGCUACCAGAUAGCAUGAGAAGCAGAGACCAGCCAGGAGGAUAAAACCCUCCCUGAGUCCAGCCAUACACUUGACCAAUAGCAAUUAUUGAGUCCGACGGACAAAGAUCCCUCGGCAGCGGAUCCCUUGCAGGCGAUCCAAAUUUCAGAAGAAGGUACUCACCUUACAUAUAUCAGUUCCCUCCUGACACCAGAAGAGACCCGGAACAUUUAGAACGCCCUCCGACAAAGCCAUGACGUCUUCUCAUGGGCACAUUCUGAUAUGAAGGGAAUUCAUCCCUCCAUCGCCUCUCAUAGGCUUAACAUCUUGCCAACAGCAAGACCCGUCCGACAGAGGGUUAGACGUUUCCACCCGGACAUGCAAAAGAUUAUCCGGGAUGAGAUCGACAAGUUGCUGGAAGCCGGAUUCAUCAGAGAGGUGGAGUACCCGGAUUGGUUGGAAAAUGUAGUGGUGGUACCCAAAAAGGAAGGCAAAUGGCGGGUGUGCGUCGAUUACACCAACCUCAAUAAUGCAUGCCCAAAAGACAGUUUCCCUUUGCCACGUAUCAACCAAAUUGUGGACUCCACUAUUGGGCAAGGGAUGCUCUCCUUCUUGGACACCUUCUUCGGAUACCACCAAAUCCCCAUGUCCCCGACUGACGUAGAAAAAACAGCCUUCAUAACGCCACACGGUCUUUAUUGCUACAAAGUCAUGCCGUUCGAACUCAAAAAUGCUGGCGCCACUUAUCAGAGACUGAUGACGAAGAUCUUCAAACCUCUGGUCGGCCACACAGUAGAGGUAUAUAUUGAUGAUAUCGUGGUUAAAAGCAAAACCCGAGAGGAACAUGUCCUCCAUUUGCAAGAAGUCUUCCACCUCUUAAGGAAGUAUGACAUAAAGUUGAAUCCUGCUAAGUGCGCCUUUGGCGUAAGCGUUGGAAAAUUCUUGGGAUUUAUGGUCAGCCAAAGGGGGAUAGAGGUUAGCCCUGAUCAAGUCAAGGCAGUCAUGGAAACACCACCCCCCAAGAACCAAAAGGAAUUACAGCGCCUCACAGGCAAGCUCGUUGCGCUAGGACGCUUUAUAACUCGCUUCACUAAUGAACUGCGACCUUUCUUCUUGGCAAUACGAAAAGCUGGAGCGAGCGGAUGGACAGACAGCUGUCAGAGCGCUUUUGAAAAAAUUAAACAUUGCCUCAUGCAACCGCCCAUCCUGAGCAGCCCCCUCCCUAAAGAAAAAUUGUAUAUGUAUCUGGCUGUAUCGGAGUGGGCAAUUAUCGUUGUUCUAUUCCGUUGCCCCUCGCCCAAGGAGCAGAAACCUAUUUACUACGUUAGCAGAGCGUUGGCGGACGUAGAAACUAGGUAUUCAAAGAUGGAGCUAACGGCCUUGACUCUUCGAAGUGCCGCCUAGAAGCUCCGCCCUUACUUCCAAGCCCACCCGGUGGUCGUGCUAACUGACCAACCCCUUCGCAGCAUCCUGCACAAACCGGACUUAACCGGAAGAAUGCUUCAAUGGGCCAUAGAGUUGAGCGAAUACAGAAUCGAGUUCCAACCAAGGUUGUCCAUUAAAGGCCAAGUGAUGGCUGACUUCGUGCUAGAAUACUCCUGAAGGCCUAACCAACGCAAAGAACCAAGUGAAAACGAGUCGUGGACUUUGCAGGUUGAUGGAGCCUCCCGGUCAUCAGGAUCCGGAGUAAGGCUCCUGCUGCAAUCCCCAACAGGAGAACAUCUAGAGCAAGCCAUCCGACUGGGGUUUCCCGCCUCUAACAAUGAAGCAGAGUAUGAGGUCAUCCUAUCCGGAUUGGACCUCGCCCUGGCUCUAUCCGUCUCCAAGCUCCGGGUCUAUAGUGAUUCCCAACUCGUGCUAAGGCAUGUCCAGAAGGAAUACGAAGCUAAAGAUGUACGCAUGGCGCGAUAUCUGACUAAAGUAAAGGACACCUUACAACGGUUCACUGAAUGGACGAUCGAAAAAAUUAAACGAACUGAAAAUGGACGUGCCGAUGCCCUGGCAGGCAUAGUUGCCUCCCUCCCCAUCACAGAAGCCAUAUUGUUGCCUAUACAUGUACAAGCCAACCCUUCCGUCGCAGAAGCCUCCACUUGCAAUACCAUUGAGGCAAACCAAGCAGACAACCAAGGAUAGACGGAAGCCGUCAUAGAAUAUCUCCGGACAGGCACUCUGCCCGAAUAGCCCAAGUAGGCACACAAGACCCAGGUACAAGCCGCCCGUUUCACCCUGAUCGGGGGGCACUUGUACAAGCGAUCCUUUACAGGCCCCUAUCUCAGGUGCUUAAACCACUCAGAAGCCCUGUAUGUGUUAACUGAGUUGCAUGAAGGAGUAUGUGGAAAUCAUUUAGGGGGCAGAACCCUGGCGCACUGGGCGCAUUCACAAGGCUAUUAUUGGCCCACGAUGAAAAAAGAUGCGGCAACCUAUGUAAAAAAAUGUGACAAGUGUCAAAGGCAUGCCCCCAUACCACAUGUUCCGUCGGAAACGUUAAAGCCAAUUUCUAGUCCCUAACCCUUCGCGCAGUGGGGCAUGGACAUAGUAGGACCCCUACCAAUUGCAGCUACUCAGAAAAAAUUCCUGCUCGUCGCCACAGAUUACUUCAGUAAAUGGGUGGAAGUUGAAGCAUACGCUAGCAUCAAAGACAAAGAUGUCAUCAAGUUCGUAUGGAAGAACAUCAUCUGCCGCUUCGGAAUCCCCCAAACCAUUAUAGCCGACAACGGUCCACAGUUUGAUAGCAUCGCUUUCCAGAAUUUUUUUUUCGGAACUAAACAUCUGGAAUUCAUACUCCACACCGUGCUAUCCUCAAAGUAAUGGGCAAGCAGAAGCCACAAACAAGAUCUUAAUAACUGCCUUAAAGAAGAGGCUCGAGCAAGCCAAAAGGAAGUGGGUGGAGGAGCUACCUGGCGUCCUGUGGGCUUAUCGAACCACACCCGGACGUUCGAUAGGAAACACUCCCUUCGCCCUCCCAUACGGUAUGGACGCAGUCAUUCUUACUGAAAUAGGGCUACCCACUAUCCGGACCAAGGCAGGAGAGCAGGAUGAUGCAAAUGCGGAGUUAGGAAGGAACUUGGACUGGGCAGACGAAGUAGGAGAAACUGCAUCCAUCUGGAUGGCAGACUAUCAACAAAGGGCAGCCGCUCACUACAAUCGCAAGGCAAGACCCGAAAGUUUCAAAAGUGGAACGCUGGUUCUUAGAAAGAUUUUCGAAAACACUGCUGAGACGGGAGCAGGAAAGUUUCAAGCCAAUUGGGAAGGUCCUUAUAUAGUGUCCAAGACAAGUGAAAGUGAAGUCUAUCAUCUACAGAAGCUAGAUGGAACCCCAUUGCUUCGACCAUGGAAUGUACCCAAUCUAAAGCAAUAUUACCAAUGAAGCAAAAACAGAAGUACAAAAUGAAUGAGUAUGUUUUAUUAAUACUUGUGAAAUUUUAUACAAAAAGGCUCUUCGGACUACUAAUACAGAGAGAAAAAGCAGUAAAAGUUACAAAAAGAAAAGCUCUCAUUGGGAGGGCUUGCGAUGCAACUUUUCUUUCUCGCCCGGGGGAAUCGAAGGGACAUCCCGUUUGAUGCAAUGCUUCUUCAUGCAGCAAUGGUAGCCAAAGAGAUACAUCUCGUCUACCUGCUUCUGGUAGUCCGUCUCGAGUUCCUCUCUCUCCGCAGCAAACUCAACCUCCAACUCUUCUUUUUGUGUUGAUAAGCGCAACUGCAAAUCCUCUUUCUGUUUUUUCUCAAUUGACACCUCUGUCCUGAGUUGUCUUACUUCCCCCCUCAGUUGGGCCGUCUCGUUUUCCGCCUCGUGCAAGCGGGCGUCGGUAGCUUCCUCUCGGCUCUUCGCCUCUGCUAGCUCUAUCCGGAUAGCCUCGUUGUCAUCCUGGGACCUCUUCAAGGCUUCAGCACUCUUUUCAGAGGCUCUCCGGGCAGCGGAUAAGCUGGCUUCGGCCUGCUCCAAUCUCGAGCGCAAUUCCUCUUCACCGCUCAUGUGCUGGGAGACGAAGGCCUUCAUGUGAUCGGAAACCCGCAGCAAGUUUGUAAAAAGAUCGUGUUGUCGAACCAUGCCGCGAAUACCACUCACCAGCUGCAGGAAAAACCCACAACAAAAAGUACAAGUUGCAAGCCAUGUAAAAAGCACACCAGUAUGGCAAGAAAAAUCAAAGGAGGAUAAGUUAUACCAUUUCCAUCGCUUCAAACAUUUUCGCUGUAGGCGUAGCAACAUCUGAGCCGGAUGGAAUCCGUUUUAACAUAUCUCCCAACUCCGCAUAGCUGACAGGACUAGCGGAGGUGCAAGUUGCAUCAUCAACGGGACUCUCCCCUGACGAGGCACUAGGGUGUGACUCCUCCCCCGGCUCCGGACCCCCAUCAUGCAUGGUCGGCUGGAUCUCUUCGGGCGAACCCUCAUCCGGGACCAACACCGGGUCGGUUGGGUUCUCUUCCGCCAUCUCCGUCUCACUCUCCUCCGGAUGAUCCUCCUGGGCGGAUGAGCAGCUGACUUCGAUGGUUUCCAGAAGAAUAUCCUGAAGCCGCCCGCUGAUGCCAGACUUUAAAUCGUGAGCCAGACGAGACCUCCUUGUAGCUGGCCUUUUCACCGGUACAAGGGCAAGGGAGCUCGACUCACAAGGGGGCAAACCCUGCCCUUCAACCCUCGUUUCUUCCAUUGGAGGCGCCAUAGAAGGCAACGUUUCAGCGCAAGAAGCCUCGGCUACACCCGCGUCCGGAGGGGAAGAGUCGGGCUGACACACUGAGAUUGCUUCCUCAACCAGAAGAGCCAUCCGUUUAGCCGCUGGCAUUGAAGGCCCCGAUCCGUUUAGACCCGUGAGACGUCCGGAACCGCUUGAAACAGAAGACAAACCGGAGGAAGCUGGAGAUCUUAUUAUUAUUCCCUCCACGGGAGCUGGAGAGCUUAUUACUAUUCCCUUUGUGGGAGCUGGCGAUUUUAUUACUACUCUAUUUUCGGGAGUUGGAGGUUUUAUUGCUUUUCCCUUUGAGGGAACCUUUUUCUUCGUUCUAGUUGGGGCGGCAGUAGGAGGAGAGGGCGCGGAGCGUUUAUCACCAGGGGCCUUCCGCAAAGUCCCCUCUUGCUUUUUUUUCCUCCCGUUCGUUGAGAAGUGCUUUGCGUGCUUGGGCGUCUGCCUUUUGCACCGUCGUGUAGAAUGAGAGAUCUUUUAAAAUGAAAUGCUUCCCAGCCACCACCUCUUUGGGCAGCCGCCUCGGGAGUAUGUUGAGCACGUACGGCUGGGGCACUUGGGUAACCAAGCGGAGAUUCUGCGCGGAGAGAAGCGUUUCACAGCUCCUCUCGUUUGCCGCAAUCUAAAAUAGCCUGUUCAACCGGUCAAACGAGGCUUUUUCCACCCACUCUACCACCUUCCCCCUCCUAUCCUUGCCUGCACCCAAGAAAACAAAGCAUGUCAACCACCUAAUAAUGUUGACCUAACUCACAACCACGGGAGGACAGGGAGCAACUUAUACAUACCUAGGACCUUCAAUGACCGGUUGAGAGCAAACUGCUUGUUCGGAUGCGUGGUCAAACCCACCCAUACACCCUUGAACAGCACGUGUAAAAAGAACCUCCAGUAGUGAAAGGUCCAAGUUGAACAGCAUGCUCAGGAUGCUGCACCCCAUCAGCACCCGGACCAUGUUCGGAUGGAUGUAAGCCGGAUCCGGGUGACGUGGAGAAAUUCUUUGAACAAUGAUGGGAGAGAGAACCGGAGCCCAGCAUUGAAUUGCUCCUUGGUGAAGUAGAUAGCGUUGUCCGCAGAUUUCUCAGUCGACAUGGCCUCUUCGUCCACAAGGUGAACGGACACUCCAUUCGGGAUGCAGAAGCGUUCGCAGAACUCCCUCACGUUUAGCUUGUCCACAGAUUUUUCCGCAUGGACCUCUCCGGACGCAUCUUUGCCGCUCUACCCGGCCGCACUAGACGAAGCAGCGUUCUUUUUCGCAGACAUUUUUUAGAGUAGGGUUGAAGCAAAACCUGCAUGACAGAAUGUCAACAGUAAAAAACAUGGACCCGACCCCACAACCCUAACGGCAAAAAACGCUCAGAAAACCUAACAUCACCAGUAUCCCCAUCCCAACCCUUGGCUCUACCACAAACAAAAAUCGGUAGCCCACAAAAGGCGCAGGGGGGCAACAGAAACCCUAACGCACCCAAAACACGAUCAAAACCCCCUGAAAAAACCCUAAAAACCAAUAUCGACCCCCAAUCGUAAAGUAGAUUGCCCAACAAGCCAGAAACAACCAUAAAGCAAACACAAACGAGGACAAGGCAGAAAUAGAGAACGUACCGAGUGUAAAAUGGCAAAAUGGAGAUAAAGUCCACGGUGCACUCACCGUCACUGAUCGAAUAUUGCUAGCAGAAACCCUAGAACCUCACUCACAGACGAAGAUACGCAGAAGGCUGAAGAGAAAGCGCUACCAAUAGAAAAUGCAGAAGAAAAAAUGCAACAGUAGGGGGCUCGAUCUGCUAUUUAUAGUGGACAGCCCCUCGGUAUCCCAAACGACCAACCGCGCCGUUUCUGAAAAGACACGCUGCUUGGAAAUUCCCAGAGAUGUCGGCUCAUCAUAAAUGCUCUUUUUCCUUUUUCGCCCCCGCGCACCACGUGGCCCAAUGAGCGCAAAAAGUAACCUCAGAUUCAAAAACAAUCAUUUUUUAACCUGCUCAUUCUGCCCGGACAAAAUCGGCAGGUUAAAAGGGGGGCAUUGUAGGGACCCUUCCCCCUGAUGACACAUGGCGCGCCUCGCUGUCCGGAGCGACUCCAUCCGGACUCCCCAAAGAAGGACACGUGGCGCGCUCCCCCUAUCCGAAUUCCCUCAGGGAGAAGCACACGGCACUCGCAAGCAUCACAUCCGGACGAUAGCAUAUCCUAUCCGAAUAUGUUGUCCGGAUCGUUGACUAAAGUAAGCAAGUCUUAAUGACAGCCUGCCACAGCCCACGUUUCACCACCUGCAGAGCGAAAGGACAGAAGUGAUGGCAAGUCACCUUCUACGAUCUCUGACAGCCGCCCGUAGGGUGAUGAUGGCCCUGCCAUCACCUAGAGGCAUCAUGACGAGCCAAAAAGUCUCCCUACCAUUAAAGAGGAGGACAGAGCUUCUGAUACUAUAUAUAUGGACCUUCACACAAGGAGGAAGGUAAGCUUGCUAUACCUAGUAAAAGGUCAACUGAUUAAUCUCUCUAAGAUAUGGCUGACAAAACCAUCGGAGGGUGUGUCCGGACACCCUGUCCGGACAUCUUUUGCAAGGACAACUGAACCAGAACUCUAUCUUGGUUGAAAACGUGCGUCCAUUUGGCAGUUACGUGGAUCAUCGGGACGCAAGGCCUCAACAACCACCACCAUCGUCGCCUCGGUACUCAGAUGCAGACUAUAAUUAAAUUUUCGAAGACGGUGACUCUAUAAUAAUAAGUCUUUCAAUAGUCAAUACUUCCGAUUCGAAAGUAUGACUAUAAUAAUUAAAUUUAAAAAUUUUAAAAUCAUUUUUAUUCUCAAUAUUGGGAACAAAGUCUUCCAUUAUUUUUUUUAAAAAAAUGCAGUAGUGUUAAAACAAUUUAUCUUCAAAACUAAUGUUAAAAAAAAAGUAAAAUUAAAUAAAAAUUAGUUUCACCUAUUAUUAUAUUUUUAUUUUCUAGCUUUUGGAUGUUGUUAUCAUUUUUUCCCUUCAUGUGCUAGGAUGACCGAGUUGAAUUUGUUAUUUGGGUGGAGCUAAUUUGUUUAAAUAUUCAUUCUUUGGGGAAUAAAAAUAAUUUUAAUAUAGCAAAACUAAAACAUAUAAUAUAGAAGAUGGACAAAGUUAAGGUAAACACUCAAAGAAAAUUAAGAUUUUGGGACUUCUCAAUUUAAUAAAGGUUUUGUUGUAUUAAGGGUACAUGGGUUAUACCAAUAAAUAAGUAUUAGCCCAAAAGUGAUGCAAAUUGUGGGUACGUUGUUUAAGAAUAUAUACAUUUUCUUUUUUAUUUUCAUCCUUUAACACUAUGAUAUAUUUAGAGUCCAUUUGGUAGUGAUUCUAUAAAACGCUUUUAAUAUUUGAAAUUGAAAAUUUUUGCUAAUUAUUUUAAAUUUUUUUUUGGAGCUAUUAUUAAUUUUAAAAUAACUCUAUUAUUUCUAUUUUAUGUAGAAUUAUUAUUUUCUAUUUUUUUAACCUAGCAAAUAAGUUUCAAAUUAAAUGAGGCUUAAUGUGUUAGAUUUAUUAACAAGUUUAUUAAUUUUUGAAAAUAAUUUGAAACUCAAAUAAUAAACUCAGUAAUACUAGAAAUUUAUGGAUAAAUUUUUUUUUCAUAAUGACUAUUAUUUUUUUCUACACAUAAUUAUAUUUUAAUAAAUUUCUCACUAUAAAAAUGAACUUCAAAUUGACACUUUGUAUUAAAUUUAUUAAUAUGUUUAACAAUUUUCAAAAAUAAUUUGGAACUAAAAAAAUAAGUACAAUCAUAAAAAAAACAAUAGAUUAAAACUAAUAUAUUAUGAAUCAUGACUUUACUGUUUCUUCUAUAUAUACAAAUAUAUUUUUUGAAUUUAGGUAAAUAAAUUAUAAUUUGAGUAAGACAAAUUAAUAAUUUAAGUUCUUUAAUGAAUUUUUAAAUUUUUAAGAAUAAUCUUGAAUUCAUAAUUGCCCUCCUCCUAUGAGAAUGGCAUAUUGCCCACCAGUACACAAAAUAAAACCGAUGGAAGUAGGUAGAAAAUUAUUUAGGAAGAACCACUCAGAUUAUGCAGUAUGGUAAUGUACAUCCAUAAGUUGGUUAAUCAGCUAUUAAGUUGUAAUUUCCAUAAUGUUAUAAUGAUCUUCUACAGAGUAUCUGAAAAUAAGUUGAUGUUGAAACUUGUCAUAUUUUCAUAUGCCUUUCAAAGAUGGAUCCCUUUAGUUAGUCAAUAAUUGAUACUGGUUAAUUUCAAGUAUGCUUAACUGUUAUUCCUAAUUCUUUGUGAUGAAUCAAUCCUCAUUGGUGAAAUGAUUAUGUAUCUGAAGUUUGAGACAACAACACAUUAGCAUCAAUAAAUUCUUGGAUGUAUGAUGGAGUUGUGAGUUUUCACAAUGGCCUACUGCUUCAUCUAUUAUAUAAUGGUUUUUCUUUCCCUUGGUUAAAUGUUUGUGUGAUUAUUUUUGGCUUAUUGGUUGGUCAAUCAAAUAUUGAACCCUUUUAAGUUGGUUCCUACAUCUAAAACUAAAUUGUUCAUGAAGUUUCUGAUUGCCUCAUCCUGUCUUUUCCAUUUAUGCAUGUAGGUACAAUGAAUUUGAUCAACCUGUCUGUAGGGUCUGUGAUGUCAUUUUGAAAUCUGAAUCCCUAUGGGAUGCACACCAAGCUUCUCGUAAACAUCAUGAGGUGAUGCUUACUGUCCUAGUUAUGUUAUGAAUAAAGCUAUUGAAAAAUUGCAUUCAGAGGUUCUAUAGCAUGUACAAUCACACACGACACAAAAGAUUAUUGUAAUUUCAUUCCUUUAUGAUAGAUAAAUUCUAAAAUAAGAAUGCAGUGAAAUCAUGUAUGAAGAUAUCUACAGAUUGUCACACUCAAGAGUCGAUAUUGAAGUGGUGUAGGGUGAAGGGCUUGAGUAAGGGCCUCUCUCGAGGUUUGUUUCAUUGAGUAAGAGCCUCCCUUGAGUUUGAUGUCACACCUAUCUUUCUAUAAUGUAGUCGUGUCCCUCACCUUGGCAAUAGAUGUUAAUCCUUGGAUUGGAUGGGUCCUUCCUCUUCAAAAUCCUUCUUUCUUUCCUUUUGUCUAGGGUGGAUAAGUUGGUUUAUCUUCUGCUAGUAGGACAAAUUUGGAGAUUCAAAGUUUCCCUUGAAUUGAAAGACUUUAUACAGUUAGUGGCUUAUAGUAAAGAGAAUAUAAGCUAUCAUCUUGGGGUUAGAAGACCCUACAAAGUUAUUGACCGUGAUGAUUGUGUUUCAAGUAGGAAGAGUAGAGAAAAUAGAUUACUCAGUGUUGGAUAUACUUUCUACUUUUUGUUCUUGAAAUAAAAAAAAUCAGUAGUAAAUUUUAUAUAAGAUGCAAGAACUCUUAAAAGUUUGCAUGAAAAAAGUAAUGGUUCUGAAAGCUAUUUAAAAAAUUUGAGGUAUUAGAAAGUUUUUAGUACCUCAAAUUUUAAAAUUUCUAAAAAUGAUUUUUAAAGAGAUAAGGUGAAUCUAUUCUUUUUGUACAAGAUGUUUUACUUUUUUAUAGAAGUUUCUGAUUUUAAAAACAAAAAAUAGGAAGUGUAUCAAAAUAGACAUUUAGUUUCCCAUUGCUUGUUUCUUGUGAUCUUUGGUUGUGUAUCUUUUCUAUGGUGGGUAUUUAGUGUUCUUUUAAGGAUUUGUUAGGGAUAAUAGGAGCAAAGUUAGUUGAUGCCUUUCAAAUUGAGGGAAAGGCCAGGAUAUUUGAAUAAUAGAUAAAGGUAUGGUGUAUACUUCUUGUUGCCCUCUUUGGGUUUUCAUUAUUAGGGAGUUCACUAUCAUUUUGUUUAUUUUGAAUUUGGGUCCAGAGCAACAUAUGUUACUCCCUUAAAUGAGUGUUCUUAUUUUUAAGCUCCAUACCUUUUGGGUUUUACCUGGAGCCUUAUCAGGAUGUGAUAUUUUUGUUCAUGUCAUUCUUCCUACAUGUGACUUUCAUUUCAAUUCUCUAUUAGAGUUGUUUGUUUUGUAUGAAAAAUACCUAAUGAUUUUUAUGGUGAAAAAACAUCCUCUGCCUGCCCACUAUUAUCAAAGGUAAGCCUUGGUGGUAAAUAGUGCAAACCAUGGGUGAAGUGGUUUGCUUUAGACAAGGUGUCUCUGAUCAUAGCUAUGUAUGUUGUGAAAAACACAAUUUGUGUGUAAAGAUGAAUGAAUGGUGCAGUGAGUGUUUUCCUUUUUUCUGGAGUAAUCCACAUUAACUAUCUCUCCUUUUAAUAGAAAUAACCAAAGAUUAGAAAUAGGUCAUCUAUGAUAGCCAUCGAAUGAUGCAUAAACACCAAUAGCUAUUCUUAGAUAAAAUGCCAGCUAUUCUAGGUUUUACUUCUCCUUUUUUCCCCACUAUUGAAACCCUAAGCACCAUUAUGCUUAGGGAUUUCCUUUGGGGAGGUGGGAAUCUGGAGCGAAAACCUCAUUUAGUAAGAUGGGAAUUGGUGUGCUUAAGUAAAAAGAAAGGGGGUUUGGGGGUCAAGUGCCUUUCCACAUUCAAUAAGGCUCUUCUUUGCAAAUGGAAUUGGUGAUUUGCGAAUGAAAGAGGGGUUUUGUGGAAUCAAGUGAUUAGAGGGAAGUAUGGGGAAGAAAGAGGGGGGUGGUGCUUUCGGGAAAUGAGAGAGGCGUAUGAUGUUGGGUUAUGGAAAGGGAUAAAGAUGGAAUGAGAUAUUGUGAGAACUAGGAUUUCCUUCUCAGUAGGUAAUGGGCAUAGGUGAGAUUUUGGAGGGAUAAGUGGUGUGGGGAUUCUCCUUUGUCUGUGUCAUUUCUAUCCUUGUUUGCUUUAGCUGUUGAUGAGAAGGCAUGAUUGGUGGAUAUUUGGGACUCCUCAACUGAGGGGGGUAGGGGGGGAUGGAACCCUUGCUUCUCUAGAUCCUUUAAUGAUUGGGAGGUGGAGGAGGCGGAAAGCUUCUUGAUGCGGCUGCAUGGGAAGAGAGUGUGUGGUGAUGUGUAAGACACGGUGUUUUGGAACGAAACAAAGAGUGGGAAGUUCUUGGUCAAAUCCCUCUACUAUGCUCUAGAGCUGGAUAGCUCUUCUUCAUUUCCCCCAAGUUGCAUUUGGAAUGUGUGGGUGUAGCCCAAGAUUAACUUCUUUGCUUGGGAGGCUACAUGGGCCAAAGCUUUAACUUUGGAUUUAAUUCAAAAAGGAGGACGGGCCUUAGCAAAUAGAUGUUUUUUGUGCCAUGAGAGGGAAGAGACUAUAGGCCACCUUCUUUUUCAUUGUACUAAAGCAAGGGUCUUGUGGGAAUUGUUCUUUUCUUUGGUUGGGGUGUCAUGGGUGCUUCCUUCUUCAAUUAAAGAGACCCUCCUUAGUCGGCAUGGUUUGUUUGUGGGCAAAAAGCGUAUGAAGGUGUGGAGUGCAACUCCUCUACAUAUUUUUUUGGACGGUUUGGAAGGUGAGAAAUAGAUUAGCCUUCGAUCUAGAGACUCAAAUACUAUUUUGUUUUUUCCCUUUGGUUAGAGGCAAAGUUGUUUAUAGCUGAUCACCCUCUAACUUUAGUUAGUUUUGUUGAUUGGUUGAGCUUUAGUUAAAGUCGUUUUUUUUUACUUGCUUGAGCGUUUGUUUUCUUUUUCUUUUUUGGCUGGUUUGGCGAUGGGUGUAUAGGUGUUGUAUACCUUGAGUUGCUCUUUUGACGUCUCUUUUUUAAUAGAUCUUUUUCUUUACCUAUCAAAAAAUAAAAAUUAUGCUUUAUCUCAUGAUGUAAUCAAAUGCAUAUGAAGAAAAAGUGUAAUUCUAUCCAAACAAAGAAUUCAAGCACUCUCUCCUUUCAACACACAAGAGGCGAUAUACCACCAAACAACGUUUGUCAGGGGUUAAAAUAUGUAGGGAAAGAUGUUACCUAAUGGAUAAAAGAAUGCUUACCAAGCAAAAGGACCUACAAGGAGCAAAUGAAUUGCACAAGGUUAAUUGGGAUGUAUUUAAAGGUGAAGAAGAUGGAGAGAUAUAUUUAAAGCUCAAAGAUGUGUUUCUGCAGUCUUGCUUCGAGUGGUCUUUGCAUGCAUUUGCGCAAUAAGGAUGUCUCUUUUUGAUUUUGUAGAUAGUUCAGGUUUGAUGCAAGUGGUUUUUGUGAGUGUUGAGUUCAGGUUUUCUAUUUAUUUAUUUAUUAUUUAUUUUUAUAACCACUAUGUCUUGGUGGUCCUAUGUAUAAUGUACUAGGUUUGGCCUCUUUGUGGCUCUUAGAUUUGCAUAUCUUAUUAUCUAUCAAAAACAAAAAAAAAAAAGGCAAUUAAAGAGAUAGAGGAGAUUGAUGGAUGUGAUAGAAUAAUUUGAGUUCUAGUUAAAGCAGCCACAAGAAAUUUUUUUAAAAUCAUUUUCUUGUUUGCUUUUCUUUUUUUCUUUGUUUUCAUCUCUUUCUUGAUCUCUUUCCUUCUGUCAGAAACAACAAUUUAUAUGCAUAGCAUGUUGGCUGUCUCUGACUCUUUGUGUUCAGGGGAGAAGUUGUUCACAAACUUAGACAAUCACCUCCCCUCUUAGCCAACUCAUCAACUCUCUAGGUAGGCAACCAAGCUUUCCAAGGCAACCCAUGCUUCUAGAAUGGUCAACAAAUCGGUGAAUUUAGAAAGCAUAUCUCAAUACUCCCUCCUAUCCAGAAGAGAUUUCUAAUUCAGAGCAAGUACACCACUUUCAAAGUUGGGGUGAGGAUAAGAUUUUUUUUCCCCUUAAUGUGCAAAUCAAUACUGGGUGGCUUAUAUGAAAACGUCCUAACAGGCCUAUUUUUGUGUUUCCUGAGCAAUUUCCCAGACCAAUUUGCAAUGGAGUACCAUCAAAGUGGAUCUUAGGCUAUCAAUAGGAGAAGAGGGGAUGGGGACGAAUUUCUCAAAGACCUCAUAAUUGCCCUCCUCCUAUGAGAAUGGCAUAUUGCCCACCAAUACACAAAAUAAAACUGAUGGAAGUAGGUAGAAAAUUAUUUAGGAAGAACCACUCAAAUUAUGCAGUAUGGUAAUGUACAUCAAUAAGUUGGGUAAUCAGCUAUAAAGUUGUAAUUUCCAUAAUGUUAUAAUGAUCUUCUACAGAGUAUCUGAAAAUAAGUUGAUGCUGAAACUUGUCAUAUUUUCAUAUGCCUUUCAAAGAUGGAUCCCUUUAGUUAGUCAAUAAUUGAUACUGGUUAAUUUCAAGUAUGCUUAACUGUUAUUCCUAAUUCUUUGUGAUGAAUCAAUCCUCACUGGUGAAAUGAUUAUGUAUCUGAAGUUUGAGACAACAACACAUUAGCAUCAAUAAAUUCUUGGAUGUAUGAUGGAGUUGUGAGUUUUCACAAUGGCCUACUGCUUCAUCUAUUAUAUAAUGGUUUUUCUUUCCCUUGGUUAAAUGUUUGUGUGAUUAUUUUUGGCUCUUAUUGGUUGGUCAAUCAAAUAUUGAACCCUUUUAAGUUGGUUCCUACAUCUAAAACUAAAUUGUUCAUGAAGUUUCUGAUUGCCUCAUCCUGUCUUUUCCAUUUAUGCAUGUAGGUACAAUGAAUUUGAUCAACCUGUCUGUAGGGUCUGUGAUGUCAUUUUGAAAUCUGAAUCCCUAUGGGAUGCACACCAAGCUUCUCAUAAACAUCAUGAGGUGAUGCUUACUGUCCUAGUUAUGUUAUGAAUAAAGCUAUUGACAAAUUGCAUUCAGAGGUUCCUUUAUGAUAGAUAAAUUCUAAAAUAAGAAUGCAGUGAAAUCAUGUAUGAAGAUAUCUACAGAUUGUCACACUCAAGAGUCGAUACAGUAGAAGAAAAACAUUUGUCUUUGUAUUUACAGAUUAACAUGUACAUCAAAAUGCAAUGAAUAUUGUCUAUCAAAAAAAAAAAAAAAAAAAAUACAAUGAACACAUGUAUUUGUGUAUCUAUUUAUACAUGCUAUUGAUUAUUUGCAUGUCAAAAUCAGGUUGUUUGAUUUUAAAAGAUUCUAUAUGGAUUCAAAAGAUGUAUGUGCUAGGGUCUUAUCUUUGCUACUAAAGCUAUACUUUUAAUAUGCUUUGUUUUUUUUUUUUUUUGAAAUUUUAUGCACGUUUCCUCUUAUAUAUUACUUUUAUGUUUAUUAUCUAUACAUAAUUAACAAUUCAUGAUGACAUCAUCGAUCAUUAUUUUCCUGUGUUUCAUAUUGUAUCCUAAGUGGAAAUAUCAUUGAAAUCCUUCUAUACUUGUGUAAAAAAUAAACAGCUGUCAUGCAUAGAUUAUCGCAUAGUGUAUAAUUAUAAUUUUGUUUUUAAACAAAACAAACAAAAUAGGGUCUGCAACCCUACUCAGCAGCUGCUCAGUUGACAGCUCCAAUCUGGCUCUAUGCACCUAAAGAUUAUUUUGUACUUAAAAGGAACUAUUUAAAAAAAAACACAAAAAGAAGAAAAUAUUUUUAAUCUGUCGUUGGAUGAAACAGGGUGAAUGAGCCCUAUCAGGGUAUAAGGUUUUUUUUUUUUUUUUGGUUUUUGUUUUUGUUUUUUGUUUUUAUUUAUUUAUUUAUUUUUUUAUCAUAAACAAUAAUUCGUUUAUAAGGAUUUGAAAGUACAUGUGAAGGAUGAGAAUUCCUUCCUGAAAAUAAAAAUUUUGAUUAAACAUAAACAAAUGGAUGAUUUCCCCAAAAUGCAAAACGAGACCUCAAUAUAUUGCCAAAAGAAACCAUAGAAAGGAAAGACUAUUCUCUAUGGGCUGAAGCUUUGCUCUAAGCUUAACUAUUUUGACUUUUAUGAUUCACACACCAAAUUCUAAUUGAGCUAGAGUCCCCUUGAAAGCUGUAGUUGUUGGGCCUCAAAAAGAGGAAUAGAGAUAAAUUAGGUUCCAUAUAGAUUUUGUAGUUCUCCGCUUAUCCUAAAAAAUCUUUACAUUUCUUUUCUUCCAAUUUGCCAAAAUUUUUUGCCUCUAGAAUAAAUUGCUCCUCAAACCUCUAAAAGAUAUCGUCAUCAUGUCACCUAUGCUCCUAAAAGUGAACUGAAACUUUAUUAAAUAAAUAAUAAAAAUCUACAUGUUUAUUACACCAUGUCAUGCUUUUAAGGGCUCUAUCCUAACAAUUGAGUCAUUCUUUCUUUAUCUACAUUUCAAAAUUCUUUCUUUUAGGAAUCCUUCCUUGGAUAGAGUUUUUUCCCUUUGUUUUUCUCAAACUUGAUUAACUUCUUAAAACUUUCUUGUGAUGGGUACAAGGUCCUCAUCUUCUUCACUAGCUUUUUCUUCUUCAUCAUCAAUGGUGGAGGCUUUAAGAGCAAUAUUUUUCUUCUUCUAAUCUUUCACUUCUUGAUGACUCUUCAUGAGUCAUCAAGGAUCCAAUCAAUUCCUCCAAAGGAAGUUUUGUAAGGUCCUUAGCUUAUUGGAUAGUCAUAACUUUGGCUUCUCAUUUCUUACAAAGAAAUCUUAGAAUCUUCAUGACCUCCUCUAAUUCCUUGUAAACCUUUCCCAAAGCUUGGAAUCCAUUAAUGAUGUCAGCAAACAUCUCAACAAUAGAUUUAUUAUCUUUCGUAGAAAUAACUCAUAAUUAACCACAAGAAUAUUGAUUUUAGAGUCUUUAACUUGAUUUGUCUCUUCAUAAGUUAUUUCUAAAAAUCUCCAAAUAUCAUAAGUGGAUUCACAUUGGCAAACGUAGUUAUAUUUAUUUCUAUCAAUUGUACAAUGUAAACAUUAAUAGAUAUCUUUAGCAUUUAAAUGAGCUUUUCUUUUGUUAAACUCAUCCCACUUUUAGCUAGGUUUAGGUAUAACAACUUCAUUCUCAAUUUGGUUUAGAAUAUGGGGACCAUUUUGGAUGAAAAAGAUCAUAAUCAAUGGAUUUAAAAAUAAUGUCGUCCUAGUUUCCCAAUAGAAGUAAUUGAUUCCCAAAAAGAACAAAUAUAUAUUAAUCGAAAACCCUUCCAUAUAAGAUGAGUUGGAAGAAUUAGCUAUUUUCUCUUAGACAAUUAAGUAAAAAACAAAAGGUCUAGCUUUGAUACCAAUUGUGAAAAAAAGCUAUUUUGAUUUAGAUAAUCAUUCAAGAGUGGGGCGAAUUAGGUAUUGAAACUAUUUUAAAAAAUAAUCAACUUAAGCAAGUUAUGUAAAGGAUAAGAAUGAAUAGAGAGUAAUAUUAAGAAAUUAAGGGAAUAAUAUUGCAAACUCUUUUAUAAUGGUUUGGGAAGCUGCCUAUAUCCACUCUCCUCAAGCUGCUAAUAGGGUGAAGGUUACACUUAGAUUCCAAGGUUCCAAUAGACCUUUACAAACUCUUCAAGUAAAAUGCCUACUUGAAUACUUCUCUCACAAUAUUAAAUUUUGAAGCUGUAUCCGUAUAGAGGCCAAGGUGUUUUAUGUGUCAGGCUUUUGUUAAUAUACUGCACUGGAAGCUUAAGUGAAAGCUCUUGAGUCAUUUAAUGUUGGGCUCUAAGGUUUAUAUUUGAUAUAUCUCAUAGGAUAGUUCUCAUUUCAGUUACUAUUGGCCAGGUGAAAGUUCCAAUACACAGCUGCUAUUUUAUGGUUCCUAGGUGUAAACUAGUAACGCUUUCAACUUUCUUGUGACUUAUGGAAUGCUGAGUAGAUUGAUGCAAAUUUGAGUGUAUUGAAGAAACUAAAGAUUUUUGUACAUGGAAUAGUAUAAUCUGUUCAAAAAGGGAAAAAAAAAUACUGCAGUAAUUUUUUUUUUUUUGAUAAAUAAAAUACUGCAGUAAUUUUGAAUGUAUGAUAUGAAUGCAAGGAGAUUAUAAUAAUUUCUCCCUGUUCAAUUGUCUAAACUCGCCCUGCUUUGUGCUUAAUCUUUGAACUUUUGACAAGAUUUUGCAAAGAUUUUAGACAGCAUCUACAAAAUUCCACUUUCUCAUUGAAAAUAUGAGCCACAAUUUUAUAUGAAUUGGUUUACAUCCUUUCAAUUGUUAUUAUUAUUUUUUUUUAUGUUUUGAUUUACCAUGAGUUAAUGAAGUGCUUAUACCACUACAGGCAAUUAAAAAUGUCAAAGCCAAUGCUGCUGGACUAACUCGGGCUAACAAUGCAAAACCUGAGGCCCCUAAACCUGAGUCCUCAACUGUAUUGUCUAAUGCUACAUCUGAACCCUCUAUGAAUUUGCAGAAGGCUCAGCUAUCAUCUGGGCUUCCUGCAGAUUUUUUUGAUAAUCAUGUGACAAAGAAGCAAAAAUCUGGUAAGAAAAAAACUGACAUCCAACUUAAGCUUUUCUUCAUCAGUUCAAUUCUAGGCUAUGGCAAUAACUACCUUAGGCUUGUACUUGUUCUGCAGCAUUUUCUAUUGUUAAAAACUAAAGUAAUUACUUUAGGUUUACAAAUGUAAGGAAGUACCCAAUUUUGAAUUCAGAGUUUGACUGAAAUUGAGAAGCAACCUAUUACCGAUUCUGAGCAUAUAUUCUAGAGUCCCACCUACCUGAUGCCCAAUAAGCCGGAAGAGUUGCUAAGUCCUUGUUUCUAGCUGUCCACAUACUUCAUGCAAAUCCCCUAUCAUAUUCUUCUUUCUUAGUUUCUUGGGGCAUCUCUAUGUCUGGAGAUUCAUUGCAGAGAAAUUCCUCGAUUACUCUUCUUUUAUUUCUAGACACCAAACCUCUGCAUUCUGACUGAUGAUCUUCAUUCAAAUAUUUUGACAGUCAAUGAGCACCCUUACAACUCCUGUUAAGCCUCAAUCCUGGUGAUCCUCCGGAUUCAAUUUAGCAGGUUUGUACGUCCUGCUUAAAGUACACCUUACACUUGAACCUUAUGUGGGAGUGACAAUCCUCACUGUGCUUGACAAGCUUGACAUUCCUAGGGGCCAAUACAGAUUCAAUAUCUUCUCCUUGCAAAAACAAGGACUUGCUAGAUUUCAGCCAAAAUGACUCAAGUUGGGCCCUGAAGCCCUUUGAAACACCCUUUCAGGUGGUUAAGAAAGCAAAAGGUGUUUGGUCUGUUAAGCUGACAAGUUUUCUAGAAAAACCAAGUAAUAGAACUUUCUGGGAUUUUUCAUUUGCUUCUUCAUCACUGUCUUUGACUGUUGAUAAAUUCCUGCAGUCAUGACUGUAAUCGCAAGUUGUUAUUAGUCUGGCAAUUUGUUCUAUAUUCCCUAGUUGAAAUUCAGGUUAGUCUGGUAACCUGUGGUUUUAGAGGAAUAAUUUAUAUUUCAUAAUGUAUCUCUAGGAAAUGAUGAUGUCAAGUUCCUAGAUCCAGAUUCAUACAACAAGACUGGGGGUUCUGCUUCUGCUCAAACUCAGUCAAUGGAGCCUCUUGAGUCGAAAAACAAUUUAGACGGAUUGUCCAGUUCUCACUCUGAAAAGAUGGGAAAAAGUGGAAUUCGUCAUGCCAGGGACCUUACCCAGACAUCAGGAAAGAUUGUUGGUUCAGAAACCAAGGAAGUAAAGGGUGCUCUUCCUGAAGGCUUCUUUGAUAACAAGGAUGCUGACCUUCGUGCACGUGGCAUUGUGCCUGUUAAGCCGGAUGU
rnacentral:lncRNA from 1 species